rnacentral:rRNA from 1 species
GUGUCAGCAGCCGCGGUAAUACGUAGGGGGCAAGCGUUGUCCGGAUUUACUGGGCGUAAAGAGCGUGUAGGCGGCAAAGCAGGUCUGUUGUGAAAACUGGAGGCUCAACCUCCAGACGUCGACAGAAACCGCUUGGCUAGAGUCCGGAAGAGGAGAGUGGAAUUCCUGGUGUAGCGGUGAAAUGCGCAGAUAUCAGGAAGAACACCAAUGGCGAAGGCAGCUCUCUGGGACGGUACUGACGCUGAGACGCGAAAGCGUGGGGAGCGAACAGGAUUAGAUACCCUGGUAGUCCACGCCGUAAACGAUGGGUGCUAGGUGUGGGGGGUGUCGACUCCCUCCGUGCCGCAGCUAACGCAUUAAGCACCCCGCCUGGGGAGUACGGCCGCAAGGCUAAA